AACCUCCGCAAUGUGAGAAAUCGCGACGGGGGGAUCCCAAGUGCCAUUCUUAACGGGAUGGCUUUUCAUUAGUGUAAAGAGCUUUUGGAAUAAGGGCUGGGCAAGACCGGUGCCAGCCGCUGCGGUAACACCGGCAGCUCUAGUGGUAACAAUUUUUAUUGGGCCUAAAGCGUCCGUAGCCGGUUUAAUAAGUCUCUGGUGAAAUCCUGUAGCUUAACUGUGGGAAUUGCUGGAGAUACUAUUAGACUUGAGACCGGGAGAGGUUAGAGGUACUCCCAGGGUAGAGGUGAAAUUCUGUAAUCCUGGGAGGACCGCCUGUUGCGAAGGCGUCUAACUGGAACGGUUCUGACGGUGAGGGACGAAAGUUAGGGGCGCGAACCGGAUUAGAUACCCGGGUAGUCCUAACUGUAAACGAUGCGGACUUGGUGUUGGGGUGGCUUUGAGCUGCUCCAGUGCCGAAGGGAAGCUGUUAAGUCCGCCGCCGGGGAAGUACGGUCGCAAGACUGAAACUUAAAGGAAUU
rnacentral:rRNA from 1 species